rnacentral:rRNA from 1 species
CUUGGGCGGCGUGCCUACACAUGGCAAGUUCGAACGGAUUCCAUAUUGAAACCUAGUUGAUGUAUGGAUUCAGUGGCGGACGGGUGAGUAACGCGUGGAUAACCUACCGUAUACAGGGGGAUAACACUUAGAAAUAGGUGCUAAUACCGCAUAAGCGCACGGUUCCGCAUGGAACAGUGUGAAAAACUCCGGUGGUAUACGAUGGAUCCGCGUCUGAUUAGCCAGUUGGCGGGGUAACGGCCCACCAAAGCGACGAUCAGUAGCCGGCCUGAGAGGGUGAACGGCCACAUUGGGACUGAGACACGGCCCAAACUCCUACGGGAGGCAGCAGUGGGGAAUAUUGCACAAUGGGGGAAACCCUGAUGCAGCGACGCCGCGUGAGUGAAGAAGUAUUUCGGUACGUAAAGCUCUAUCAGCAGGGAAGAAAAACCGGCCUUAGGGCCGCCAGACGGUACCUGACCAAGAAGCCCCGGCUAACUACGUGCCAGCAGCCGCGGUAAUACGUAGGGGGCAAGCGUUAUCCGGAUUUACUGGGUGUAAAGGGAGCGUGGACGGCAGCGCAAGUCUGGAGUGAAAUGCCGGGGCCCAACCCCGGAACUGCUUUGGAAACUGUGCAGCUCGAGUGCAGGAGAGGUAAGCGGAAUUCCUAGUGUAGCGGUGAAAUGCGUAGAUAUUAGGAGGAACACCAGUGGCGAAGGCGGCUUACUGGACUGUAACUGACGUUGAGGCUCGAAAGCGUGGGGAGCAAACAGGAUUAGAUACCCUGGUAGUCCACGCCGUAAACGAUGAUUACUAGGUUG